CUGUUUCAUCUCAGCCUCCAGCCCCGAGAGGAGCCGCCGCCGCCGCCCAGAGGAGACGCCCAGCCCCGAGAGGAGCCACCGCCGCCGAGAGGAGACGCCCCAGCCCCGAGAGGAGCAACCGCCGCCGCCGCCUCCCUCGCCCGCGGCCAUGAUGACCAAUCUGGCGUGGGCGCCGCAGAUCACCCUCUGGUCCAUGGCCUCGACCAGUUUGCUAUGAUCCGGCGAUGGGGAUGCAAGGAGAAGUUGUUGCGGUUUCAAGGGGCCGUGAGGAUGCCCACCAUGAAGGCGUGUCUGGGAUGAUGGAGGUGAUAUCCAGGCCCUGGUGAUAUCGGCCAGGUCCCCGUUGCCGCCGACUGGCGGCGGCCACCGUGUCCUCUUCCAUGGCGUCGGCGGGGCCUUCCCCUGCCAAGCGCAGCGGCUCCUUGGCUGGAUCACCGUCGCACACCUCGCCGGCGUGGUCGGCAAGAUCUGCAUCUCGAUCCUCGCCACUCUCCAUCCUCUUGCAGGUUUAUAAAUUUCGAAAUAUAGUUGCAGCUUCACGGAAUGGACGGCCCAAAUUAUGUUAGUGUCUAUAUGUUUACUUGGUGGUGGUCUAGCGUGAGUGACACAUGCAUCUGUAACUUACCCAUUGGAUGUUGUUCGAAAUCACCUGACAACACAGAAAACCACUAGGUAUUACAAGGGCAUCUUUCACACGUUGUCUACAAUUUGUAGAGAAGAGAGUGGUAGAGGAUUGUAUAAAGGCCUUUGGUCCACCUUAUUGGGAGUUGGACCUGAUAUAUCAAUCAACGUUUAUGUAUAUGAAUCCCUGAGGUCUCAUUGGCAAAUGGAAAGUUGAAUGUCAAACUGUGCGACCAAUGAUUUGCUAUGGUUAAUUCCAGUUGGGUGUGUUAACCUACAGUAAUCAAUCAAGUCAACAAAUAUAACAAUGAUACUUUGUCUUCUGAUUUUUGGUGGUGAUUUUUUUUGUGACUGAACUAACAGGAGCUGAAGCAUGUGUUCUUAUUUUUUUAUAUGACUAGAUGCAUAUGAACUGAAGCUCCAUAAUUUUCUUUUCAAGUCGACAUUGGUGGCAACUCCCUACAAUUAGCGUUAUUUACAACCAAUGAAGUCUUAUAAUUUUCUUUCUUAGAAAUAUACAGUGACACUGACUAUCAUUUAGUAGCUCUACAGGCACUAGCCAAAAACAAUAAUGUUUAUUUAUUUAACCACCAAAUAGAACAAUAGGUUAUUCUGCAUUAUGGGUACACAAAUCACAACACUAUAUUUCAGCUGUAGAAAUCUGUGUGGAUGCCUGCUGAUAUUUUAAGCCUACAUAUUGCCGAUUUGGUUUGAGGAAUGCUUGAAGCAUAAUUUACUCCCUAAUGUGCAAUUAGCAGUAUCAUUUUUUGUCAAGAAACUGAGAAGACGGAAGAGAGUUGGUGUUGUCAGUGUGGUGAGCCUAUGCGGCAACCACAAGGCUGAAGUCUGCUUUGAUCGUUGUUCAAGAUUUGAGCCUUGGCUCCGGUUUUGAUAGCUCUAUAUCAGGAGUACAUGUCAUGAUUGUUGGAUACACAUGCAGACUUUCAGCGAGUUUUUGUUCUCGGACUUGGGAUCCACAGUCCAAAGUUGAUUGGUGGAUCAAGUGAACUUGGUGCAUCUCCAUUCAAGC